rnacentral:rRNA from 1 species
AGAGUUUGAUCCUGGCUCAGGACGAACGCUGGCGGCGUGCUUAACACAUGCAAGUCGAACGGAAAGGCCCUUCGGGGUACUCGAGUGGCGAACGGGUGAGUAACACGUGGGUGAUCUGCCCUGCACUUUGGGAUAAGCCUGGGAAACUGGGUCUAAUACCGAAUAUGACCACGCUCUUCAUGGGGUGUGGUGGAAAGCUUUUGCGGUGUGGGAUGGGCCCGCGGCCUAUCAGCUUGUUGGUGGGGUAAUGGCCUACCAAGGCGACGACGGGUAGCCGGCCUGAGAGGGUGACCGGCCACACUGGGACUGAGAUACGGCCCAGACUCCUACGGGAGGCAGCAGUGGGGAAUAUUGCACAAUGGGCGCAAGCCUGAUGCAGCGACGCCGCGUGAGGGAUGACGGCCUUCGGGUUGUAAACCUCUUUCAGUAGGGACGAAGCGAAAGUGACGGUACCUACAGAAGAAGGACCGGCCAACUACGUGCCAGCAGCCGCGGUAAUACGUAGGGUCCGAGCGUUGUCCGGAAUUACUGGGCGUAAAGAGCUCGUAGGUGGUUUGUCGCGUUGUUCGUGAAAACUCACAGCUUAACUGUGGGCGUGCGGGCGAUACGGGCAGACUAGAGUACUGCAGGGGAGACUGGAAUUCCUGGUGUAGCGGUGGAAUGCGCAGAUAUCAGGAGGAACACCGGUGGCGAAGGCGGGUCUCUGGGCAGUAACUGACGCUGAGGAGCGAAAGCGUGGGGAGCGAACAGGAUUAGAUACCCUGGUAGUCCAA